UCGUUCCGACUCCGAGUCUUGAGACCCCCUCUGCUCCGGCGCCAGGGAUUCGCACUCCGCCUCUGCUCCACCGCCGACGGCGAUUUCGGAUUCACCAUCCUUCUCGGCCGUCCAUGGAUGGAUGAUUUCUCUAAGGAAUUCUCUCUCUGUCUCUCUCUGUCUCUCUCUCUCUCUCUCUCUCUCUCUCCUCAGCAUUUCCACCACCCUCUUGGUCGGCGCCGGAUACUUCGCCUUAGGCUUUCUCCUCGCCCACAAGGAGACCGGGAGCGGCUUUCCUUCCCAAGUUCUUGGAUCAAACCUUCGCUGAUAGGACUACAGUCGCCUCCUUUCGGCCGACGACGCUGCCGCCUAGCUCGAGUAUAUAGAGCGAACCACGCAGAAGAAGCCCUCCCUUCACGAGAUCAAAACCCUUGCUGAAAUUCUUGAAAGUUUCGACAUGGUUUUGCUUGUUAGAAAUGAUCUGGAAAUGAGACAAGGGAAGAUUGCUGCCCGACGCAGUGAGACUAAUGAGUUUGAUGGACAUCAUGAGCAAGAGAACAGAGAAACUAGCUACUCAAAAGCAUAAAAGACAGCCAUGCAAUGGUGAUUUGUAUAAAGAGCUCCUUCGAAGGUCUGUGCAAGCUUUCAGCAGGGACAAUGGGAGGCAUCGGGGAGGCUGACCUUUGCGGAUGGACACGCAAGGGUGCUGCACGACUUAGGCAAAACCAGCUAAGUCCGUGACAGUAAGUUGCUUUAAUUAUAUAUAGCACUCAAACAAUUUCUGUUUUGUUUGUUUCAAUUUUUUUAUUCUCAUUUAACUCUCUAAUUAUAGCAUAUGCUCGUCUAGUUUCAAUCAAAUGCUAUACAAGGUUAUUAACUUGAGCUUGAAGUAUUUCGGGUUAUGUGAUUUAUGAUUGUAAAGUUAAUGAGUUAGUUUCUCCAUCGGAUUGAACGGUUUAUAAGUUUGGACCUAUAUCAAACAUAGUGAAGGGGGGGAGUUCAGGUAAAAUAGGACUUUUGAUAGAUAGGACUUGAGGGAGUUGGAAUCACUACUGGUCUGGAUCUGAUGUAUUGCCUACCAGACAUGAUUUUGACAGUGAAAUAAAGUUGGAUUGUUCUUGGAACAAAAAUGAAACAGGAGUUGUGGUUGUUGUUGGGCAAUGGCAAUCUCCUUUACCUUUAAGCACAAAGCAAGUUAGAAGAUGAGCAGAUCUAUUCCUAUGUUUUUUGAUCUAUUUUCCUCUGUGUGUGUGUGUGUGGAUGGAACAGUCAUGGGGUCAGAAUAGGUGGUCCAUGUGGUCAGAUCCUAUCUUGAAGGAACAAGCAAGUCAUCAGGAGGAAGGAAGGAUAGGAUAAGGGACCUGUUUGGCUGGCUGCAUGUGUUCUUAUCAGUAGCAAAGUCCUCCUCAUACAAGGAAUUGAAUCACUAUAUUGCCUUCCUAUCAUCUCAAUUACCGGAAUUGAAUCGACUUGAUCAAAUAUCGGUCACUGAGUCACCGGUUGAGCCGAUGGAUUCAUUGAUCAUAUCAUUGGUUAAAAAAAUAAUAUUUAUAAUGUAUUAUCAUUCAAAAUAAAAUAAAUUAGGGAUACGGAGCAGAGCAGAUAUAAUAUUUUUAAAUAGUUAUAAUAACAAAAUAUAAAUGCCUUUAUAAAAGGUCAAAUAUCCUUCUUGUUGAUAAUGAAUGAAGAGUCGAGGGCAUCUCAGUUUUUUUCAAGACUUAAUUAGUGAACAGAACCUAAGUCUUUCUGUUGGCUGUGCCUCCUCUUUCUGGUUGCUGACCUCAAGUAGGACAAUCUUCUUUUUGUUGCAACCCUGUACAUCCUUUUUCUGUGGCUUCUUCCAUGUGCAAUGGACAUGGUGGGGAUGAAGCUCGAGAAAGUUUGGCACCCCCCCAUGUCACCGUUGAUGGUUGUUCGUGUUUCCUGUGAUGGGUAGGUGAUAGGUCCAUUUCACUGUGAGUUUUACAGUGGGAUGGCACCCAUUCCUCAGCCUUCAAGGCAGGAGGCAAGAUGAGAUGCCAAACCUGUGAGACAAGUCAUUGGAAUAU